UGACCCCAGGUCAGGCGGGGCUACCCGCUGAGUUUAA
rnacentral:rRNA from 1 species